rnacentral:rRNA from 1 species
GUCGCUACUACCGAUUGAAUGGCUCAGUGAGGCCUUCGGACUGGCUCAGGGAGGUCGGCAACGACCACCCAGAGCCGGAAAGUUCGUCAAACUUGGUCAUUUAGAGGAAGUAAAAGUCGUAACAAGGUUUCC